rnacentral:rRNA from 1 species
UACAGAGGAUGCAAGCGUUAUCCGGAAUGAUUGGGCGUAAAGAGCUCGUAGGCGGUUUGUCGCGUCUGCUGUGAAAUCCCGAGGCUCAACCUCGGGCUUGCAGUGGGUACGGGCAGACUAGAGUGCGGUAGGGGAGAUUGGAAUUCCUGGUGUAGCGGUGGAAUGCGCAGAUAUCAGGAGGAACACCGAUGGCGAAGGCAGAUCUCUGGGCCGUAACUGACGCUGAGGAGCGAAAGCGUGGGGAGCGAACAGG